rnacentral:lncRNA from 1 species
AUCCCUGGGUGCGGCUGGUCCACGGGGGAGACAGCUGCAGAGUGAUCUUGAACUUGUGGCUGCUACUAGAUUUUUGCCCACACCUCCUCGUAUGCUGCGGCUUCUCCACUGGAGUGGGGCCAGGGUGACCGUGGACUUGCCGCAAGUCAGACGGCUGCAGGUCACAGCAGGUCCAGUCUGUCCACCUUUGAGCGGCGGCGGCAUGUCCUUCCCCACCCUCGAUGACCCCCGCUGGCUUGACCCCCAGAAACUGCGUGGAGUGUUCGGGGGAUGAGGCUGAGGAGGCUUGUCUUUGCCUUCCGGAACCCCGCUCCUGUCCUGAGGUCUCCACCCAAGGUGGGAACCCCGGAGAGCAGCCUAGCAGCCACGUGCCGCCGGACUCGCGGGCAGUACAGAGCCUGGGAAAGCCACGGCCUCGGAAGUUGCUCUGAAGAACGAGCAGGCUCGUCGCGUCGCGUGUUGAGAAGCAGCAGUGGUGUGGAUCAGCAGGGUUGAGGCGGCGGCUGUGCGCGUCACGACAGAGACGUGAGCAGAGGCCGCGUGGCGCCCAGGGAGCCAGCGAUGACAGCCCGGCAACGGGCGGGGCGGGGGCAGGAAGGCGCCUGAAGGCAGCCGUGUCCGCCUGCAGUGGCAGCAGCCCCGCAGGCACCCCAGGGCAUGGUCUUGAAGUCCUCCAGCCGGGAGGUGCGGGAUCUUGUGUGCAGGCCCACCCCACAGGCCUGAGCUGUCUGGAUUAUCCCCCAGCCAAGGGGAGAAUGUCGAUGAGGUUUACGAAUUAGUCCUGAGAACGAGUGUCUCACGCUGAAACCUUGGGACCUGUGUUUCCAGCACAGGUUGUGACAGUGAGUGGAAAGAUCUGUCUUGGUGAAGGAGCAUGUCCCCAUGUUGGCAAAACUAUAAAGAAUAAACGGAUCUUGAAUAAACUACCUUGACUUGCC